UCCAGACUCCUACGGGAGGCAGCAGUGGGGAAUAUUGGGCAAUGGGCGCAAGCCUGACCCAGCAACGCCGCGUGAAGGAAGAAGGCUUUCGGGUUGUAAACUUCUUUUCUCAGGGACGAAGCAAGUGACGGUACCUGAGGAAUAAGCCACGGCUAACUACGUGCCAGCAGCCGCGGUAAUACGGAGGAUGCGAGCGUUAUCCGGAUUUAUUGGGUUUAAAGGGUGCGUAGGCGGAAUAUCAAGUCAGCGGUAAAAAUUCGGGGCUCAACCCCGUCGUGCCGUUGAAACUGAUGUUCUUGAGUGGGCGAGAAGUAUGCGGAAUGCGUGGUGUAGCGGUGAAAUGCAUAGAUAUCACGCAGAACCCCGAUUGCGAAGGCAGCAUACCGGUGCACAACUGACGCUCAGGCACGAAAGCGUGGGUAUCGAACAGGAUUAGAUACCCCAGUAA
rnacentral:rRNA from 1 species